GUCUCACUUUCCCAGGCUGGCUGUUCCACCAAACUACAGCAGUCUUAGAAAACCUAAUGAGAGCCAGUUGUAGUGGCCGCUGGCAAACUUUCACAGAGUCGCUGAUUGGUCGGUGGCCGAGAGCUGUAGCCAAUCAGCGCGGUGUUUGGGCCCGCAUUUCGGACCAAAGGUCCGAGUGGGCGUCUGGCGGGCACAGUGGCCUGCAGAGACUCAAGGUGUGGAGGGCGGGGCCAGGGAGGGGUGAGCAUGUCUUGGGACCGGACAGCCAGGCGGCUGGCACCGCCAUCACCGCUAUCGCUGCUCCUGGUGCUGGUGCUGCUGUCACGAGACGGGGCUCUGCAUCCUGAAGAGCUCUUUCCUUACGGGGAGUCGUGGGGAGACCGACUGCUGCGGGAGGGCGACGUUGAAAGCUCCGCGGCGGCGAAGCUAGCAGCUGUGGAGCAACUAACCUCCAUGUUUAACUGUCAUCGCCGCUGGUGACCGGACUUAGCAGCGGUGCUGCAGCUUCUUGAUCCCUACUGUGGAGGAAUAAGGAUCAUUUCAAGGGAGAGCUGGAACCGUCCCCCUCUACUUCGACUUCCCAGGCAGGAAGAUGAAAUUGAGGCGGCUAGUGCGGUUUGCCUUUAGGGGCGGUGGGAGGCUGUGCACACAGGUAUAGCAAUCUAAUUAAGGACACGGCACCCAAGGUGUGCAGUGGUGGAGAAAGAUGAGCGGGUUCAAGAGCGGCCGCACCUGUGAGUCGCAGUGCACUUGAUCACUGUCGCCAAAGUUGAGUUUGUUACCCUGGAUGUGUCUCAACCUCCCAAGAGGAGGGAGUCUUCUUGACUCGAAAGCAAAUCGGACCGUAGGUGCGUUCGACUGGUGGUUGCCCACCACCAGUUUGAGCGACCACCGUUUUGCCCUUUAAAAAAUGUUUAUGUGGGGCGGGAUUCACGUGCUACCUUAUGCGUGUGAAGAGCAGAGAACAACCAGUUUUGUUUUUUUUUUUUUUAUCCCACCUUCUGUCGGGUCCUAAAUCUCAAGUCAUCAGGUUUGACAGCAGAGUGCCCUUACCUGCUGAACUGUCUCACCGCCUUGUGGUCUUAUUGUAGAUGGGCACCAAUGGGAUCAUCUCCACCCAGGACUUACCCAGGGAGACUUAAUAUGUCGUUGCUGAUUUUCCUACUGACUUCCCAGCCAUCACCCCAUUCCUGGCUGACAUCCACUUGAGUCACAGCAGUGGCCGGAUCCUGUAUGGAGGACACCUCCUGGGCUGUGCUGAGUCUGGCUGCUUGCUACCUGUGCACAGGCUUCCCCCCUACCCACUUCUUCCUGGCCACCUGGGAGCAAGUGGGCACCUAGGAGGAGGACAGGCCUGGGGACGCACGGUCUGGAGAGCUAUAGGAUCUUACCAUCACAUUCUGAUGGGUAGCCCUGAGCAAUGAGAAUUGACAACUCUGGUAUCAUCUCUGUGACAUCCUCGACCAACAACUUGAGAGCAAGGUGUCCUACAUCUAGCUCUGGACUUUUUGAGAACUUGUAGCCAAUGGAAGGAGAAUUACCCACCUUGUAACGUUCGUUGUAAGUUGCUGAACACUUUCCAGGCCGUUCUGGCAUCCUAUGAAUGUGAUUCCUAUGCCCUCUUUCUCUAUCCUGCCAAUGGUCUUCAGUUUUUGGAACUCACCCCAAAGAAUCAUACAGUGUCCAUCUGCAGGUUCCUGCUAAGGUGGGAUUCUGCCAAGGGGAAGCAGAUGACGUGAAGAGAAAAGCCUUGUAUUUCAGCCUGACUAACAGUGAGAAGUCGGUGAAGAAUCUCUACCAGGGAGUAAUGUGGAGUGUGUGACUGUGCUAUGCACUGGAAGGACAUUUAGGAGGGACACUAUCUCUAGUGGCCAGAAACUAUUUGAUAAUAACCUUUGGUGGCUUCUAAGAAAGGCGCUGGUUGAAAACCAAGAGCUAAGCUGGACCUCUGGAGCUUCAGGCUGUCCAAGAUUUAAAAGAUACUUUCUUUUUCCUGCACUAUCUGUCAGGCAUAGAAACCAGAACCAGCAGUGAUUAUAUGUUUUUGCAUAACUACUGGGAUUUGCUGUGAAAAACAUUGUUCUUGGGGCUACAUAAAAAUAUCCAGUCAUAACUAACUGCCUCAGUGGACGCUUUUCAGGUUAAUGAUUUCUGGAGAGGAGGCAUCAUAGUUCAGUCUUUCAAACAGGUAUUGUUAAGGAUUAAAUUAUGAGUACUAUAAUGGGGGGGAGGUAGAUGAGGCUUUUAGUCGUCUCAGGUUUCUCCUGGCACCAUCACCAGAAAUCAUGCUGACUGGUUUACCCACAGCGUUGCCAGAGACAAAUCCAUUUCUUAGUCUCCCCAGUGGGUUAUUCUGCUAGUGCUGCAAUAGGCUAUUCUGCAGGUGUCUGUCCAGUUGGUGCUCCUAAGAGACUAUUGACUUCAGGUGGGCUCUUUUGUCUUUGUAUUUUGCAAUACUAGCUUAGCCCACAGUAGUUACUUUGUGGCUUCCCAUAGUUGCUUCUCAUUCAAACUAGAUCGUGGGCAGAUAGAGUGACAGAGCAAAAAUUUGCCGAUCACUUUAUCUGCAGAGCAUUGUGAUAAAACCCUUGCAGAUAUUAUCUUAAUUAAAACUCUCUCAACUUAUAGGCGGUAAGUAUAACUAUCUUCUCAGUUUUACCAAUAGUCUUACCGAAAUUACGAAAGGUGCUUAUGUCAGAGUUAAAUGGCCGAGCCAUAGUCAAUACAGCUCUGAAGUAUGGAUACAGGGGUGAUCUCUUAUGCAGAGUAGAUAGGGUGUUUCUUACUUGGAUUUCAUGUUACCUGGUUGUUUGUAUUUUGGUUCAUUUUAUCAGUCACUCCGGUUACAGCUCACUCUGCCCCUCUCCUGCAAUUUUGAUAUUUCUGGAAAGCAUCAAAGGAAAUAGUGAAGAACCGGAGUGAAUGGAUGACAGUGUUUGUGUGCGUGUGCGUGUGCGUGUGCGUCUGCGUGUGCGUCUGCGUGUGUGUGUGUGAGCACGUGUAUGAAGGCCUUUAUGGCUCUAGACAACUGUCUCCUCACAUGCUUUUGCACACACACACAGGCACAGACACAUGCACACGCACACGCACAGCAGCUUCUUAUGGCUAUGCAGGUACCAAUUCUCAAUCUAAUACUCUGUGAUUCUUGGUCCUUCCCAGAUUCUGUUGGUGUCCAGGGGCUCUGCCUUUAAAAAUCAUAGUAUUUCAAGCACUCAGCCUUAUUUCCAAGGUUCUACAUACAAGUGUCCCCUCCUGUUCUGUGAUCCGUACCGGGUGUAGGUCUCCAUCUCACCCUAGUCUGUGUAGUCUAGACUCUAGAACAGACUUAGCAGUUGGCCUCUAUCCUUUCUCCUCUAACUUCUUACCCUCUAGCUUAAAGACUCUGUCUCCCCAGGUUGUACCUAGAGCUCCUUGGAAGGAGGGCUGAGUGCUUGAAAUACUACAAUUUUUAAGACACAGGCGUGUGCCAGAAAGGAGCAGCGUGAGACAUGACCAGAGUGAUUGACAAAUUUGGUGUGCCUCACGCUUAAUAAAAUGAGACAAACUACAGACAAUGGAAUAACAUAAAACGCAAGGCAGAAUUAUCCUACCACUACUCGGAGUGACAACUCUGCUACCUCCCCUUUCAGCGUGGGCUUUGCCUCCCAUUCAGUGUUUGCAUACUUAACACUGUCUCCUAGGCUUCUUUCCUCCAGAUUCUGUCAGUAUCGUUGUCUUAAGGGUUGAAACAUUGCAUCACACAUGCCCAGCAUUGAGGACAACAUUUGUAAACUAAAGUAGCUAAGGAUCAUGGUCCUAGCUCCCUCUGGAUGCUUUGCUGUACUCCUCCAAGGAGAAGAACAUUUUCCUAGUCCUGGAAUCUCUUCCUCCAACAGAGGUCAUACAUUAUUCAUGUUUGCAGGCCUCUUAUGAAACAUGCAUAUUCAGGUAGGGAAGAGAGUAGUUCCUGGGAAGGGAUUAGUCCCAGGCAGGCCAGCAUGGCUGUUCUGUUUUGUGAUACAGUUUUUCUUUCUAGGAGACAAAUUCUAUCUGUGAGCAUUCAUAAACAACCUCAGUGUGGAGGGUAAAUUAACUGUUUAGAUUCCCACCAGGCACUGUGGCAAAUGCCAGGAUAUUGAUUUAUGUCUCAUUAGAAGGCAUUUAUUUAGCUCCACUCUUGCAUGAUUUGUAUUUUCCUUCUCUUUGAAGCUUUGAAGCUGUCCACUUCCAAACUCAAGAGGUUUCCCAGCUGCAAUACCCUGCUGUGGGAUGGGCUGGGGCUCCAGGGUCUCUUCUUACUGAUUGGUUUCAGUUUUUAAAAUUACAUUACUGUGUGGGAGUUGGGGUUGGACGCAGCUGUUGGGGAGAUGUCUGGGUCGGAAUCCAGAUUGUCACAGUUUGUGCUCUCCCCCUACCACGUGGAUUCUGGGUAUAGCUCUAAGCUCUUGUAGGUAAGUGGCUUUCCCUGCUAAGUCAUUUUUUCAGCCUGGAGUUUUGUCUUCUGUGGUGUGUUUUAUUUGCAACCCUAAUUUCUACGAGCACCAACUGAGGGAAAGAGUUGAAGCUCUGCUGGUAGAACAUUGCCUAGGGGACACAAAGCCCAGAGUUUUGACCUUGGUGCCACACAAACAGGGUUUAGUAUCACACCUGGUAUCCCAGUGUUUGGGAGGUGCAGGCAGGAGGAAUAGAAGCUCAAGGUUAUCAUCAGCUACAUGAGACUGUGUCUCAAAAAAUGAAAAGAAACCUUAGCAAUUGAAUAUGACAAAUCACAGAAGGGACGAACACUGACCUGAUUGGGGAGGAGAGAGUUUAUUUGGUUUACUGUCCUGGGUCACACAGUGCAUUAGGGGAGCCAAGGCAGGAACUAAAGCAAGACAGGAACCUAGGAGGAGGUAGGAACUGGAGCAGAAGUCAUAGGGGAACAUUAUUAUUGGCUUGGUUCCUCUGUCUUACUCAGCCUGAUUUCUCACACAACCAGAGAUGGUACCCUAGGGUGGUAUCACCCAUAGUGAACUGCUCUUCCUCCCACCAAUCAUUAACCAAGAAAGCGCCCCUCCCCCAGACUUGCCUUCAGGCAUGUGUGAUUGAGGCAAUCUCUUCUCAGGUCUGCAUCAGGGUGACGAAAUCCAGCCAGUACAGCAGAGUAUCGUGAAUACACUUGGGUACAGGUAGUGGCUCGUGGACAGUGCACAGAAUGAGAGAGAGAUAGAGAACUGAAGAAAACCUCAACUCUCUUCAUUAUUGCAGUAGAAACCGAGACUAGAAUGAUGAAUACUUGCCCCAGUGAACAAAGAUCUCGUUAUAUGAUUCACUGGAUCUUAAUACUUCUUUUUAGCCAUUCCCUCUUAUUCUUGAUUGUUGACUUUUGAGGAAAUUACAUAGUCUGGGAUAAUUUGAGGUUUGGUAUUUCGUGCAAACACAGGAUUGAUAUCAUUGGCUAGGUCCCAUUUUCCAGAGUCAUUUUUUUUCUCCAUCUUUGUUAAAUUGGGUAUUUUUUAUUUACAUUUCAAUUGUUAUUACCUUUCCUGGUUUUCAGGCCAACAUCCCCCUAACACCUUUCCCCUCCCACUCUAUAUGGGUGUUCCCCUCCCCAUCCUCCCCCCAUUACUGCCCUGCCCCCAACAAUCACGUUCACUGGAGGUUCAGUCUUGGCAGGAUGAAAGGCUUCCCCUUCCACUGGUGCCCUUACUAGGCUAUUCAAUGUUACCUAUGCAGUUGGAGCCCAGGGUCAGUCUUUGGGUAGUGACUUAGUCACCUGAAGCUCUGGUUGGUUGGCAUUGUUGUUCAUAUGGGGUCUCAAGCCCCUUCAAGCUCUUUCAGUCCUUUUUCUGAUGCCUUCAAUGGGGUGGUCCCAUUCUCGGUUCAGUGGUUUGCUGCUGGCAUUCACCUAUGCAUUUGCCAUAUUCUGGCUGUGUCUCUCAGGAGAGAUCUACAUCCAGUUCCUGUCAGCCUGCACUUCUUUGUUUCAUCCAUCUUAUCUAGUUCGGUGGGUGUAUAUAUAUGGGCCACAUGUGGGGCAGGCUCUGAAUGGGCAUUCCUUCAGCCUUCCAGAGCCUUCCUAGCCCGAGCUUUCUCUUACGGUUAGGAGUCAUCUUACACAUGGCUGUCCUCUUCACAGCAAGCGUACCAUUGACACUGAGAUAGUAGGUGACUGAGCUGGCAAGAGUAGUGCCACAUCCCAGCAGAAGAUCUAGAGUUUCAGGAUAGCUGGGACUAUCUGGUGAGACUCCUGAGAAAAGAGAUUCUUGGGAACUAACAGGGGUUCAUGGUCUACUCUACAGAGAAAAUGAAGAUCUGUUCCCAAAUACUGAGCCUCAUUUUGAUUAAUACAUUUGUAUCUUACCCAUGUUGAACUUUUGCUCAAAAAUUGUUUUAGACUUGGUCAUUAAAAAGUCCUGAUAGAUCUAUCAUCCUCUGUCAUGAAUACAUUAGUCCAUGUGAAUCAGAGUACACAGAGAUGUUUGUAAGACAAAGUUUCUUGUUAGCAUGAAAUUCUUGCCAUGGCUUUGCCAACUUUGGGCUGUAUGAUCUGAAGAUUAGCUAACCCCUCAAAACCAACUUUUUCCUCACUAAGAUCUAGCACAGCUACCACCCCUAUCUUGCAGAGCACAGUGAAGACUGAUAAGUACUGGUGUAGGCACGGCUUGUAGAAAUCAGUAUUAUUUAAGUGUUUUAGGAAUUUUAAGCUUAAGUAAGCUUGAGUCCGAUUUAAGUUUUCAUUCUCAUCGAGAAAGCAUAAAAUAUUCUUGCAUUCCAUGUUUGAUCUCAAGACAGCCAGGUUUUUGACAGAAUAUUUGAUUUGGGCUUCUGGUGCAGACAUAUAACCUGAUGGCUUAGUGUUCCAUACACAAUGCCAAACAAAAGGCAGCUUAUAACAAAGUUCCUGUAUGGUAUUUAUCUCAGUUACUUAGAAGCUUUGCUUCUGUUUGACAUAGCAUGGAAAGUUUGGCUUUGAUCGUUAAAGUCUUUUGAUUUCAAUAUGAAUUCUGAAGGAGGAUGAAUGGACUGGUUACAAUCCACUCUUUCCACUGUUCUUAGACUAAGCAACCUGGGGAUUCCUGGGGCAUGGGCCUUUCACUUCAGCAGCAGGCUGGCCCUGGACAAUGUCUGGCCAGCCACGGUCAGAGGUGACCAUUCCACAGCCUGCUCCUCAGCGCUGGAGCACUCCUUCCACCAUGCUGCAGCCCUGGAGAUCUGUACUAAGGAUAGUUGCAAUUACCACAAUGAGAAUGGAGAGGAUGUAGAAUACCCACCAAUUGAACCAGGGCAGGCCCUGGAAGGCCACAGGAGAAUCGAUGUAUUGAUGUGUCUUUCAAAUCAAAGGCUAAUUCGAGCUUUGUGGAUGUUGGCACCACGUCUCCAGAGUCUGAUCACGCUUCUCCUUUGCCACACCCAGCACCUGGUAACUGGCCAUCCUACCGGGAAACAGAAUCGGCUUCUUUGGUCCAUCAAAUCAAACAGGGGCCACCUGUGGGAGAGGUAGAGGUCCUGGAUUUCAAGGACCCAGCAUUGCUUUUGGAUCCAAUGGGCACCAGAACCCCAGCUCCUCCACAGGCAGAUGCAGCUUUCCUAACUCCAGGCAGGAAAGACCUUGGGAACAGAAAACCCCAGUCCUAUCCAGAGGCACGGCCAGUGCUUUCACAGCCAGAUGUUCCCGCCGCUCCUUUGGAAGGAGAAAUCCUUCCUAAUUACCCCGUGUCUGGUACAUGCCACCCCUGAGUGGAGGGAGGUAUGUGGUAGGACUGGAUGACCACGUGAGUUCUAAAGCUCAAGGCAAGUGCAUUGAAAAACUGGGCAUUUGAGGUUUUGUUUAAAGAAAAUAUAGCAGAGUUGACAAACUAGACAUGGUCAUUCACCUGGGCCCAUUCCUGUACCAGUCAGGCUGGGACAGGCUGGGGCAGUCUGAGACAGAAAGAUUUUCUAGGUUCAAGAGUAGCCUGGGCCAUAUAGAGAAUUCUAGGCCAGCCUGGAUUAUACAGCCAGCUCUCCUCCCAAGUGUAAUGAAAAUUUUCGGUUUGCAAGUUCAGAGAAGGUGAACCAUGUCGAGGCUUCAUAGGCAUUGCAGGAUAGUGGGUACAGCCAUUUAACUUUGACUGUGGUAGUUAGCUGUGCAGGCUUAGGCAAACAUGCUGAAGAGCCUUAGGGAGAGAACAUGGUAUAGACACCUGUGUCUGCUAUUAGUUCUGGUUCUUGUCCCCAUAGCUGUGGCCUUCACCUCCCCUGAACCACCUUAACCUGGUUCUGUGACUCACUAGCACUAAAGGUAGCAGGAAGAAGGCAGGGGAAUGCCCAGAGGGAACAACUUUUCAUCCACCCUGAUGGAGUGGGAAACUGGUCCUAGAUUCAUCCUCCCCCACACCUAUCUCCCGCUCUCCCUGCUCAAUGAUCUCUGCCAGGAGGAUGUGUCAGAGGUCAUACCUCUCUCCACAGCAUUUCAACUUCACAGUUUUUCUGUCCGUGUAUUGACAAAAACAUUAACCUAGCAGAGAGGACCUUCUGGUUCUGCUGGGACAUUUUCUGCAGGUUCAGGGGUUGUUUAGAGAAAUAGUUCAGGAGGGAAGAAAACACUUUGUGUUUAACAGAGUAUAGAGUAAUAGUUAGGGGAGGACCGUUGUUGUCAAGUUUGAAUCUUGGCCAUGCUAAGGCAACUUAUUUCACCCUCAGGUCUCUGAUUUUCAUUUAUAAACGUAUUGCCAGGAUUUGUUGUUAGUAUAUGUUAUGUUUUGAUUGUCUGCAUUAGUCUGUUCCUCAGAAGACAAUUAAGACCAUCAUUACUAAUCUUUAGAGGAUUUAAAACAUAGCAAACUGGAGGAUGGGGGGGGGAGUAACAGCUGGGCUGGAAAACAGAGAAACUGAAAACAGAAAGUCUCAUUAAAAAGCUUAUGCCUCCUGGCUCCUUUUCUGCUUGAUGAAGUUUGAUGAGCAUUUGUUUUUGUUAAAGCCAAAGGCAUGGAUUUCUUUUAAACGUUCUAGAACUUUCAAAUUCUUCUAACAAUCUCCUAAAAUAUUCAGUGUGAGUUUUUUCUAUCUAAAGAGAUUUAAAGGCACGAAUCAAAAAUUUCCUCAAAGGGAUUUUGUGUUACAGAUGGGUUUUUGAGUGGCCUUUUGUUGGGGGUUGUAUUUUCCUGGCCCAGGAAGAGCACACAGUUAUUGGAAAGUGGUUGUAUGUACAGUUGUCUGAAACCUGAGGAGCGGGCUAUGGCCCAGCACAAAACUGUAAACUGAUGUAAAACCUUCAGAGAGUUUUCUUUUGCAAUCGGUCAUGGUUCUUGAAGCGUGAACUUUGUAGAUGAUAAUGUGUCACAGUGUCAAAGGUUGUGCGUGGCUGUUUAAGAGCUCAGAAAGGCCUGAAAUGGAACCAGUCACUGGGAACUGAGGGUAACAGCAUAACCCAGGAGGGACAUGAUCUGUGGUAUUUAAUCAGCUGCCAAAUGUAGUCAAUGCUGACAUCUAAAUGCUAGAAUGGUUAUGAAAAAGACUUUCAGGGGGAGAUUGUCCAACUGGAAGCUUCUAAGUCUUAGAGGAGAAAAAUACUUUUAAAUUUUAUUUAAAAAAAUAUUUAUGUGUGUUCAUGUGUACAAGUUCAUGUGUGGGAAAGCCUAGCCCUUAAGAAAGAAUGUUUGGUGAGCUGUGUGAACCAUAGAAACAUGUAAUUGUUAUUAUUUAUGUUCAGAGGAAACACUGUUCUCCCGGAGGUUUAUCCAGCAGCUGUGGGCUUACUCUGGGCAGCUGUUGACAUGGGGCUGAGACCUUCUAGUACCAGCUCAAGGUAGGAAAUUUGAGGCUUUUGGUAGUGGAUGGAAUUGAGUUACCCUGCAGCUCUGUUGUGUAGUUUGAAGACAGAUGCUGUUUGAACCUUAUUUUCUGAACAGAGAGCACCCUUCUCAAUAAAUUUUAACUUCCCCUUUAAGCAUAUAGGAUUUGGUUUGCUGAGUCAGGGAAUUAGGAUUUUGUUAAAGGCUCAGAAAAUUUCUCUUCUUUUUAGUAUUGUUUUCAUUAGGGUGUGUGUGUGUGUGUGUGUGUGUGUGUGUGUGUGUGUGUGUGUGUGUGUGUCUGUGUUUGUGUGUGUGUCUGUGCACGCCUGCCUGCCUGCCUGUGCAUAUGUAUAUGUGUUGUAUAGGCCCCAUAGGCAUAGGAAUAGGAGAGGUGCUCUGAAGUGGCCCCAGGGCAGCUUAUGCAGCAUGAUGGUAUAGACAGGUUCCAUGCUGCCACCCUGAGCAGUGUUUCUGUGUCCUGAGAGCUGGCUGCAGCCCUGCUCAUAUUGGGAGCUUUCAAUUCCAGGCUGCAGUAGGUUUUUGGUUGUCACAGCAGAGAGUAUCUGCAUUCUCACCUCCAGGGAGGUGGACUCCACUUGCAGAGAGAGAGAGAGAGAGAGAGAGAGAGAGAGAGAGAGAGAUUCAUGGGGAAAGGCUGCAGCGCAUUUGUUAGUCUCAGUAGACUGAGCAGCUGUGAACUUUCCCUUCACUAAGGCCAUCCCUAACUCAAGCAUCAGGAACUGUUCCCUACAGCUUUUACUCUGGACUGAGCUCACCCUCCCUGUUGCCUGCCCUGAUCCUCAGCUUCCACCUGGUUCCCAGCAGCUACACAAACAGACCAGUUCUUUUAGUCUGAGGCAGGGAUUCUGUUGCAGCUUUCAACCUGGAGUAGCAAGCGCUGCUGAGGUGCUGGGGUCCUCGCAGCUGGGAGAACUGAAGUAGAGGAGGAAGGUGUGGCCAGGUCGAAAGCUCUGGGCCAGGGUGUGGUGGUCUCACAGGUGGCCAUUUCUGAGCACCUUCUCCACUGCUGUUCUUAACCCCCUGGCUUCUGAUACUCGAAGGCCUCUUCUGACAUUCCCAUAGUGACGCAGGAAGGGGAGGGUUCUGUGGGCAGCAAGUAGACACACCACCCAAUCCGGAUCAGACGACCCAAGGGUGUCUGUUAGCCCCGCCUCCGCCCCUCCCCCAUGUCCCACCUCCAGACUGCUGCCAAGCUGCUCAAGUGGUUCUAGCUGUUGGUGGGGUCCUGCAGAUGUGAUAGGCUCCUCCUCUCCAGCCCCUCCUCCCCACCCACCUCUCAGGCCCUCCUGGGAUAGCUGUCCUCCUCUGGGGCCCUGUACUUGCUCCCAGCCAUGGUGGCUAGGCUCACUGCGCUCCUCCUUUACCUCGUUUUCUCCUUGGCCAUCCUGGUCCAGACAGGUCCCAAGGAUCAAACUCAGGUUAUCAGGCUUGAUGGCAAGUGCCUCUACCUACUGAACCAUUUUACCAGCCUCACAAUGGAUAUCAUUCAUCUGUGAAAGAAAAAGUUAUAUUCCUUGCUGGAAAAUGGAUAGAACUGGAUAUGAUCAUGUUAAGUAAAAGACGUCACCCCGAAAAACAAAUACCCAAGUUUUUCCCCUCAUGUGCUAAGUCUAUAUGUGGAUCCAUGUAUAUAUUUAUAUGCAUAAGACAUGAAGAUAAAGCAGGACUGUUGAGAAGAGGUAAGGGAGUAGUAAUGUGGCAAGAAAAAGAGGAGGUUAAUAGGGAAAAGAUAAAUAGAACCUUUUUCUCAGAUGUGAAAUCAGAAGGGAGACUAAGUAGUGGAUAAUGGGGAGAGUGAGCAUGAGUGGAGUAUGAAAUGUCAUAAUCAAGCCCAUUACUUUAUAUGUUAAGUUUUAAAACAAAAUAAAAGAACUGGUCAGUAACAGUAGGACUGUUGGUCCUAUGUAAGCAACAUGUAGCUCCAAAGGCUUUAGCAACCUUUUGGGGACAUUACUAUUCGUUUCUUCAGUAAUACCAUGGGGAUGACGGCCCUUUUCUCCUGGUGUGGCAGUUAUCAGGAUUAAAUAAAUGUGUCUAAAGUCCUCAGCACAGGACCUACCUUCCAGUAGCCCCUUUCAGAUUAGUACAAAUUAAUCUUACUUCUUCGAUAUUCCCAGCAACAUUUUAAUAAAUACACUUUGCAAAUCCUGACAGUGUUGUUUACAUGAAAUGGUCAGAGAUCUCACACCUAUACAAAGAAAAAGGGGGAAGGGGAUGAUGGCAAGUGACAGCUUAAAGGGCAAAGGCUUUGGGAAGUAAUAAAAACCUUCUAGAAAUAGAGAAACGUAAUGCUGUAUGUUCUUAAAGUAUAAUAAAAAUCAUUGAAUUAGACACAUUGAAAGGGUGACUUGUGUGAUGUGAGCUCUAUAUUCAUUUAAAAUAAUCCCCAAAGGCUGAAGAUUUCGCUCAUUGUCAGGUAGAAUAUAUAUUUAGCAUGUGCAAGGCCCUAGGUUCUAUCUUCAGUCCCAGAAAAAGAAAGGAAUGAGUAGAUAAAUGUAAGUUUUUUAAAAGGUAAGCUGGAUGUGAUGGCCUAUGUCUGUAAUCUCAGCAUUUGGGGAUGAUGCAGAAGGAUUGCUGUAAGUUUGAGAGCAGUCUAGAUUACGUGAUGAGGUCCACACUAGCCUACGGAAAGGAAAGGAAUCGAAAAUACCACAUCAUGUCCAAUAGAAAAAAAUGCUUUCCUAAUUAUACCCUACAUGGUGACACAUGCCUUUUAAUCUCAGUGCUCCAGGAGCUGAGUCAGGAGGAUCUUGAAUUUGGGGCUAGACUCCCCUCAGCAAACAGCCAACCAGAAUAAGGUGUACAUAAUUGUGGGUAAGAGCACAAUGACCCCAGUGCUAAUUAUACUGAGUGGACAGGCUGGGUUCCUAACAGGAACUUGUGCACUGAUUUGGGGGUAUCAAGCUUUAUACAUGUGCCCCAGAAAGAGUGUGGGAUUGGCUUCAAGCUCCUUGAGUGCCUUCAUCAGUCCUGGGAAUUGGGCAUCAUGAGGACAGAGAGAAUUUUCUUUCCCUCAGUGGUACUAGGGUCACCAUUUUGUCAGCUAGUCCUCCACAGGGUCUAGAGCCUCAUUCUUGAGACGUUUGAUAAGUUUUCAGCCCCUCCUUUGGUGGUAUAGGCCACGUCUUCAUUUUUCAGUACAAGACAGACACCAGGUACCUGUAUCAAGUGUACAGAAGCCAUUUGAAUGGAUAUUUGUGGGUAGCAACAAAAAUAAAGUUAUGGUUGGGGGUCUCCACAGCAUGAGAAAUGGUGUUAAAGGGUCACAGUGUGAGAUGACAAGAAAAAGGCUGCUCAGAGGGGCCUGAAGCCAGGAGCUUCACUGGGUUCUGAGAGUAGACUUUCUAGACACACUGAGUUUCCUGUCUCCAGUUGUGCUUCCUACCUGAUGGUUUGGCUUUUCCAACUUUAUGUCUACUGUCACUUUGUACAUUUUUAAUGUUGUUCCUCUGCUGCUCUUGGGUUCCCAGAAAGCCUGGCUCAGAGGCUCCUGAACCUUUGUUUAUUCUAGACUCAGCUCUCCCAGUAGCCUUCUCAGAGGUCCAGUGACUGAGGAUUUGGUGUUCUAAAGUAGGUAUAUAUAAGAUCACCAUUGGAUUUCUGGUGAAUGUCUGUAAUCUCAACACUCAGGAGGUGGAGGCAGGAGAACCAGGACUUCAAGGCUAGCCUCAACUACACAGCCAAUUAGAGGCUACCCGCUGGUAUAUGAAACCUUGACUCCACUUUUCCAUACAUCUGCAUAUCUGCCCUUUGUGGCCUUCACAGUCACACAGUGUUGCUUUCAUUGAACUCUACACAUUGUAAGUCCCAUUGGAUGGUGGAGAGUCUAGGUCACGGUACAUAUUCCACCAUGAAAGUGGAGGAGUGUCCAAUGAAUUUUAGCCCCAGUUUCUCAACAGGCACAAACUCAUGGAGUUGUAGGGUCCUGCUGAAAUGCUGCACCCCUAAAGUUCUCCCCAGUCUUCCCAGUGGCAGUGACUGUAUACCUCUAGCAUGAAGCUGGUCCCUUUAGUUCUUUGAGUAGCAAUGACCAUUAGAGGUAUUUGGUGACCUGCACAUCUCUUUAUUUCUAGCACUUUGAAUGAGGCCAUGAUGUGUCUGUCAAUUGUCGGUUGUCACGUUCCCCCUCCAUUGGGGUUGGGUGUGAGCUAGUUGGAUCCAAAGAUUUUUCUAGAAUUUUCUCUAUGGUGAGGCUUCAUACAGAGAGUACAAUGUCCAGUGGGACAGCUCCCUUAGUGGAAUUGGCAGAGCAUCCGUCUUCAGAAGUCUAGAUCAGGAGCUGGGGCAACCUGGGGGCCCUUGUCUAUGACAGAGAAAAGUUACUUAGGUUUGCCUGUUUCUAGAUGCAGACAGCAGAGCAGUUCCUUAGCACCAGGCCUUUGAAUUUUAGCCUGGAAGUUGUAUGUGGGUUGGGGUAGCAUAGUGUGAGAAACCUGUCUAGCAUAUACGAGGUUCUGGGUUCCAGGAAGUAGUGGUGGGGCAAUAACAGGAAAAGGAAAGUUGCUUGAUUGAUAGUAGAUAUCUUGUAAGCAAGGGAAAUGUGGGUGCUGUCCUGUGUGGUGUAAGAUGUUUGGCACAUAAUCUCUUGCUUUUACCCAGCAGGUACAGCACCCUGCUCACUUGCCUUGCAACCUGAAGAUGACUGCAGAGAGCAUCCAGUGUGUGCCAAGCAGUAGAUUUCUACUGGUGGAGCAUCAGUGAUACUGACAAAGAUGUCUAUCUCAUGACUCUUGAGAUAUCUCUAUAUGCAUGUGGUUCUAGGGCUGAGAAGGAGGAGAGCCUUGUACAUACCACGCAGGUGCUCUACUACUGCCAAGACACAGCCUAGACCUUGGCAGAGUUUUUCAGAGACAGGAUAUCUGUGUGUAUGUAAUGCUAUUCUUGAACUUAUAAGCCCCUCCUGCUUCUGCAAUGAAAUGCAAGGAUAAAGGUUUCAGACAGCUUGCAGAUGUGUUUUUGUUGUCAUUUUUUGUUUUUUUGUUUUUUGUUUUUUGUUUUUUUUACAGUUCCCUCUCUUGAUUUCAAUAUACUCAAACACCAAGGUUUUCUGUUUUCCUUGCUGCCUUAGUACAGAUGUGUUGGAAGAAUUGAGGUCAGGGGCCAUCUUUGUGGGUUGGUGUCAGCUCCACUCAUCUCAGACCUACCCUGGACUCUGGUGAGCUUUGGCUGUCCUAACUGUAUAGCAAGUCACUGAGAUGGGUAGAUGUUAGGUCUCGCCAGUCUCAGUGCAUGAUGACUUUUAUUUUAUUUUUGGUUUUGUUGUUUUUUGUUUGUUGUUUAAUUUGAAAAUCUUUUAUAACAAAAGUUUUAAAAAAUGUACUUUGAUGGCUAGUGGAAGAUGCACUCUGUCUUAUGCCUUUAAAAUCUAUUUUAACGUGUCAUAUGAUAAAUAUCAAUAGUCAGAAACCAUAUUUAAAAAGCACAUGAAGGUCUUCAAGUGUUUUAGCAUCUAGGGAUGUAAGACCAAAAAGUUUGAUGCUUCCUUUGGCAAAAUUAUACUCAGGAGAGUGGUUUCUGCUGUGCACAGUGUUUAUCACUUUAUUGUUAUGAAGUGAUACCCAACUAUCUCCUGUGGCUGUUUUGGUUCUGGUCACCAGCAGCGUACUGAAGUAGCCAUUGUGUAAUGGCCUUGUCAGCACUUGUCAACUUUAUCAUGAUCUAAACCCGCAAGAUUUAGACAUUUAUUAUACAAUUAUAUUAUAAUUAUUUAUUUGUAAUUAUAUUUAGUUUACAUGCUUCCAAUUACUACGGAGUUGUCUAAGAUAGUUUCUUCUUUAAGGAAUUGCCUGGUCAAGCCUUUGGCUCAGUUCCUUGUGUAUAUUUUCUCCUGGUUCCUGCUCACAAUGCUCUUUUUUCAUGUUUUCUUUGCUGUAUUUUUUUCAUUUUUUUUAUUAUCAUUACAAUAUCUAUCUAUUGAUCUGUCUGUCUGUCUGUCAAUCUAUCCAAGUCAUUCCCAUUGUUUGCCCUAAUCUUAAGUAGUAUAUUUCUUUAUUUCUUUAUUGACUUAUUUUAAAAAGUCAGUAUCUUUUGUUUAUCAAGUCAUGGACUUUGUGUUAACAGACAAGGAUGUAAAAUAUUCUUCUUUGCUCUCAGUUUAUAAUCUAGUACAACAAAACCAAGAGAAUAUAAUAUAAACAAGGGAUUGAACCUAGCAUAGUCGCUUACUAGCCAAAUGCUUCUGAGCUCUAUGCACAGCCCCAACCUUGUCUUUCUAAAAUUAUGCUUUGUUUUUGAGAUCUACUUGCCUGCAAGUUUCUGCCACUUACAGCUGAGAAUAAAAUUUUCAAAGUUUUAAAUGCUAUUAGGAUUCCUCCCCACUGCCGUUGAUUUUUUAUUUUUUAGAGAAGAUCUUCCUGGGUAGCUCAGUCUGCCAUGAAAUCUCAACCCUCCGCCUUAGGGUUUACAGUGCUGCCACUGGAGGCCUGCCCCACUAUGCCUGGCCUACCUUGGGCUUUAAAAUAUUGUUUUAGAUUUAUUUUUUACUAUUUUAUCACUAGAAAUAUUUUUCCUACAUGCAUGGAUGUGCAUCAUGUGCUGCUUUGCGCCUUCAGAGGUCAGGAAGGUGUUCGAUCCCCUGGCACUGGAGUUACAGAUAUAAGCAGUCAUGCAGAUGCUGGAAAUCAGUUGCCAGCACCCCGGUCAGGUCACUUACAACCACCACAGCUCCAGGUCCAGAGGAUCUAAGGCCCUCUCUGUAGGGACUGCACUAAUACAGAUUUAACCCCUCGGCCCCUAUAUGCAUAAUUUAAAAAAUCUUAAAAGAUGUAAUUGUCUUUUACAUUAUUGAUAUUUCCCAUUCAAAUGUGAUCUAUGUGAUUCUUUUAACUUUGGGUUUAUUUUCAUAAUCUUAUUCAUUUUCAUUUCUCACAGGGCUGUUGCCAAGCAUUGUAUAGUAUAGAUUCCUGUUACGAAUAGGAUCUUUUCCUCCUCCUCCUCCAUUUCUCUAACUCAUGAAUAUUGAUGCCUGAGAAAACUUAAGAUUUUUUUUCAUAUAUCUGAAAUUAGCAGCAACACCCUUAACUACUUUCUAAAGUUUUGUGUGUGCAUGUAUAACAUGAACAGCUUCUGAUGAUGGAUGACCCAUAGUCUCUAAUCUAUACACGCAUGCACACACACACACACACACACACACACACACACACACACGAGAAAGAGAGAGCUAGAGGGGCAGAAAGAUAGAGACAAAGAUAGAGAAACAAAGACAGAGAGACAAAGACAGAGAGACAGAAAGGCACAGAGAUAGAGACAGAGACAAAGACAGAGAUGGAGAGAGGGAGACAGGGAACACUUCACUGACUGAGCUACAUUCCUCCUCUCAUGUUUUGUUUUGCUGUGUAGCCUAGGAAUGUGUCAGGAUGCUUGGUUUUGACCAAGUUUUUGAAAUGUACAGUUACAGAAUACUAUCCAUUAAGUCCAGUUGAAUAUAUGAUUCAUACACAAACAGGCUUUUUGGUCUGUUUUAUUUACUGUUAUAUCCCUAGGACAUGCAAGAGGGUAGGUGUUUUUCAGUUCAAUGGAAGGAAGAACAGAUAAAUACCAAGUUUUCCAUUCACAAGCACAAAGCUAAAGUGAUUUUGUUUUGAACCAGGCAUAGUGGGCAAGUUGAAGUAAGAAGAUGGUUUGUGUGUCUUCUUAUUCUCUGAUUCCUUUUAUAUGGUAGCUCUCUGCCUCACCAGGCUUCUUAUUCAUGAAUUUUCAUAACAGCUUUAUUUGAAAUUGCCUGAUACUGGAAUGAACGCAUAUGUCCCAGACAAUGGAAUGAACUGUAACAAUCACUUGGUGCACUCCAGUGGGAGAGAUGGCUUCACAGUUGGGGUGAAUGGACUCAGACAGUGUUAAACACUUCAAGCAGUACGAUGCCACAAGUAUUACUUUGUUGGAAUUACCUCACUAUGGAGGCAGAAAGCAAAUUAGUGGUCAUUUGGGGUCUGAGGUGGGUAGUGGAUGGAGACCUAGGAGAGGUAGAGACAAGUAUGUGUGUUAAUCAGAGGUGAGUAGAAGGGGCCAGUAUAGUGAUGUAACUGUUCUUUUCCUGGACUGUGGUGGGGUCUCAUGACACAUUUGACAAAAGUAUGGAUGAGCAAACCUUCUCCAGUGAAUGAAGGUAAAACAGCGGAAGUCUAAACCCAGUGUAUGGUUGUGUGAAUUUCUGUAUUUUUAUUGUGAUGAUAGACUAUGUCUGGCCAUAAUGUGACUUUUGGAGGAAACUGAGCAAGCACAAGAAACCUCUUAUGUUGCUUCUUACAACUCUGUGAGCCUAUAGUUAUGUUGCUAAACUUUUGAGGUCCUGUGGCUCAGUAAUUCUGAAGACAUCUGCAUACAUGUCAUGGGUAGAGGGCAACACCAUGUGUCUUCAAUUGUUCUCUACUUUAAAAAAUAUAUUUAUUUAUUUGCACUUUUGUGUCUGUUUUGGCUGCUCAUAUGUAAGUGCAUCACUCGAAUGCAGUGCCAGAGGAGGGUGCCAGAUCUCCUUGAACUGGAGUGCGGGUGGUUGUAAGCCAGGUAACACAUACCCAGUGCUAGAUUAACAGCCGAGCACCACCACAUCUGGCCUUUACAUGGCUGCUGCACACCUGAACUUAGGCUCUUAUGCUUGUGCAGCAGUAACGGUACUCAGAGGUCUCCCUAACCCCGUUUGACUGCUUGAAAUAGAAUAGGCUUUUCUGACAUUGGAAUUGUACCGCCCAGUUCCUCGUGCUCAUGUGCACAGCUGGUUUCGUGCUUGGGCAGUCAGACUUAGGUUUUGGUUGGAAGCCUGGUAUAUUUAUGGUCCUUAAGACAUAAGACCUCCCUCUCUCCAUCUCACACCCUGAAUACUUGGCCAUUUCUCAUCCUUCUUCUCAGCACACAUUAUACAGGGCAUCACUGAUGCAGAUGGGAGCUGCAGAACUCCUGAUCCACUAAGAUGUGAGACAUGUCAUCUGCUGACUCCUGUGGUCCCUUACCGAGCCACUCUGUUAGGCUUCCCUCACCAUGAUGCACUUUAUCCUCUAAGACUCGAGUCAGUGUGAGGCCUUCCUCUGUAAGUUGCUUCUGUCAAGUGUUUGUCCCAGCCACGAGACUAGAAGUCCGAGAGUGGAGAGAUGGGCUGGGCUGUUCCUCACUUGGUUCAGAACUUGCUUGGUCCCUACCAUCAGAUAAUCCCAGGCACAGAGACUGCAGUUACACACGCUGUCAAGGUGCAUUCUAGCUGCAGCAUGGCUCAGGACUCUGUGCCUUUGCACCUGACUGAUAGCCCACUGCGUAGCUGGACUGCAUCAUAGGAGAUGACCUGUCCUCACCUUUCUCUAGUAUUACUUCUCUCUUCUUUCCUUCUCCUCUCUCCCCACCCCGUUUCUUCUUGUAUUCCUUUCAGCAGACUGGACUGCCCCAGUGACCCUGCACUUCUGCUUGUCAUGCAAUGGAAGAUGGCUGUGUUGCUGUCUGCUCAGUAGUGUUACAAGUGAUAUGUGAUUGGCCAGCAUCACCCUUUUUAUUGUUCUUGGGUAAUUUUCCGUAUUCCACGUGUUUCUCCUGAAAAUAGAUGCUUGAGUUGCUUUGUUUUUAUUACAAAUGAAACAUGUCUGAGAGACCAAGGAGGGGCAUUCCUGACUAACGGAGCACAUAUAUGUUUAAUGUCUUAAGAAUCUUCUGGGGGUUUCUAAAGUGUUCCUACCAUGUUACCCUCUCAGCAGCAAUGCAUGGCACAUUCCAUCCUUCCUCAGAGUAAGAGGAACUUCCAGAGGAACAGAAGUGGCUUAAAUCAGAAAAACAAAUUCACUCAAGAAGAGCUUUGAAUCACUAAUAAAUGUUGACUGAAACACAGAAACAUGGUAGAAGCACUUUGGAAUGCCUCCUGUGUCUAGCUAGUGUCUGUGGACACCCAUGUGCUCUUUUUUAUUUAUUUUACUCUUUCCCGGGUGUUUGGACAGACCAAGGAUACAGACAUGCAUGCCUGAGGACAUAAUGUUUUAUUUAUACAGAUGUGUGUGGCAUCCAGCUUGAAGUUCUCUGUAAACAGGGCCAGCUGUUCCUGACAUUUUCCUCUUCUCUGCUUUUUCUUUGUAUAGAUGCAGACAAUGGAAAAUGAUGAUUUCUGUUCCCUCUGAUCAAAGACUGUUGACCUUUCAGCUGUAGCCUUAUCACAAAGCCAAGAACUACUCAUUGAAGGGGGGAAAUGGGCCUGUUGACAUUUUACAGGAUUUUUUGAAAUGUUAAAGAUCUUUUUGAGGGUAGGGCCAAGGGCACAGACACCUGUAAUGUGUGCACUGUCCUGAACAUUCUCAGGAAACAGGGGGCUACUGCUUUGUCUGUACUCUUGGAACAAACACAUACCCUCCUGAAAGGACCAGAGUUUGUUGUGCUGAUAGAGGGUCACGUGGUAGACUGGGCUGAGGCCUUCACAGCUUCUGUUGAGGGAGUAGUACUGGAGGGGGGAGCCUUUCUGUCCGGUAUUCUUUUCUUUUUUUUUUUCCGGAGCUGGGGACCGAACCCAGGGCCUUGCGCUUGCUAGGCAAGUGCUCUACCACUGAGCUAAAUCCCCAACCGCUCUGUCUGGUAUUCUUAAACAAUGCUUGUCAUUUGGGGCUUUGAUAUGUUGCUUAGGCUAAGACUUGGCAGGACACUUCCAUAGAGCAGGACACACAGAUUGGUAUGGUACCAAAGUGGCAGGAAAGCAGUUUUUUUUUUCAUUUAAGAAUUUAAGAGGAGGGCUCAAAUCCUGUGCACUCUGUAAUUUUGGUCAAUCGUCAUUGGCUAUCUGUUAGUCUGGCAGUUUUAAAAACACGAAAACAGUAUUGGAAAAGUAUGUUCCGGCUCAGGGGAAAACCCAGGCUUUGCCAACCUGACUUUAAACAUCUUUUUUCAUAGAACUUAGCACAGCUAGUGAUGCUGGGGGUGGGGUGGGCAGUGUAGGGAAGAAACUUAAUUAGGCAAAUUUUGAUCUUAAAGCUUUAUUCCUAUGUUUCCUGGCAGGCUGUUCUUUAAUCUCUAGAGCAAGAUUGCUCAGAAUUACCAUAUAUUUUCAUUAAUUUCAUUAAAAUUAUAGCAAAGGUUGUUUUUGCUAUAAUCAAGAGUGAUUUUGAUUAAUAUUUAGGAAAUCAAACCCCUCGCCAGCAGUGGGAAUGAGAACAACCUUCUCAGUUAGUCGUCCUUUCUCUUCCUUCUCACCCCUUCUUGCAAAAGGCCAAAGAUACAAAUGCACCAGAGGGAUUUUUAAGAGUCUGUUUGCCUUUGCAGAUAGUUCUAAGGAAAACACUACAAAAUGGGAGUCCAUUUUCCUCUCUCUUGAGUGUGAAGAAAGAACACACGUGUGCACACCAGCCUGCCUUGGCUGGCAACAAACAGUGCCAGGAGCACACACCCUCUCGUACAGGCUGACUGUUAUGUCAGCAGAGAAUGCUGGGAAAAUCUAGAAGAUGAAGCAGGUAACAUACCCAUGUACCCAUGUAAAGAGGACAUGAAAAUUGCAGACAGGUAUUAGAUAAAAACUAACGGACCAGUCGAAGAUGAUCUAUCUUUGCUUUUAGAAACGAUACCUACUGAGGCAUCCCACAUUAUAACUUGCUCUGAUUUCAAAGCAUAGUUUGACAUGUGUGUUUUUGUGCUUAUGAUCUGUUCAUGAGCGUUCAUUAGUACACUAUGUACAGUGUGAGGAGGAGCAGGUCAUUGAUGGAGAAAAAGAUACUGGAAAGAUAGUCAUUUGACACGCUAUAGUUUCUAAUGUUUCAACCACACCCUCCUCCAUUUUCCUCCCUUCUUUCCAUUCUUUUGAGUACUGAUGCUGGAAACCAUGACCUUGUGUGUGCUAGGCAAACACUCUAUCAAUGAUUCUCUGUUGCCUCCUUAUUGAUCUGUGUAAUAAUUUUUGAUCACAGGAUAGGUGUAAAAUAGUGUUUCUUCACUAUCUCCUCCUUCAAGGAGUGCUCAGUACUCUAAUCAAAGACAGAACCCAUUUGUCUAUUGUCUUUUUCCUUGCCAACCUCUAUGGUUCCUGCUUUUAGGAAAAAGUGGGGCCAGCUUAUAGGUUCAGAGGUUCAGUCCAUUAUCAUCAGGGCAGGGGCAGGACAAUGUCCAUACAGAUGUAGGGCUGAAGAAGCUGAGAGUUCAACAUCUUCCAAGGGCAGAUAGGAGAAGACUGGCUUGCAGGCAGCUUUUAGGAAGUCUUGUCAGACUAUUUCUUAUGUUUGGACACUGUAGGUAUCUGUGUUGCACUGCUUUCUUAGGGCUACUGGGACACAGUGGAGUUAAAGUAUACAUUAACAACUGGCCACACAGCAACAUUUGAUCCAUUAAAGACUGAAUACAUGAUAGUAUGUAUUAUUUACUUCUUUAUUGCUUUGAAAGACAACAUGGCCAAAGCAAAUUAAAAAUAAAAUUAGGAUGAUGUUUCCAGAAGGUUAGAGUCCAUGAUGGCAGAGAGAAGCCAUGGUGUCAGGAGCAGCUGAGAGCUUACAUUUUGUAUAAUUUAGUGUGAGCAUGAGUGAGUGUGUGCAUGUGUGUGUGUGUGUGUGUGUGUGUGUGCGUGCGCGCGCGCGCACGCACGCACGCUCAUGCAUGCACAAGAGUGUGUACCUUUAUGUGUAUGUGUAUGUAUAUGUGUAAGAAGAGAGAGAGAGAGAGACAGCGAGACAGAGAGACAGAGAGACACACACACAGAAAGAGAGAUUGAUAUGUACCAUGGUGCCUGUGGAAGUCCAAGAAAAGUUAUGGAGUUGAUAAUUUCCCACCUCUACAUCGGUUCAAGGAAUUGAGUUCAGGUUAUCAGGGUUUCUGCUUUUUAGGCAGAAGAUAACUGUACAAUAAACUGGAUAACUUAAAAUUUGAAAAGAAAUAAUAAUUUUUUCCAAUUCCCCAGAAUGGAAUUCCCCAGAGUUCAAAAUAUCAGCAGAGCCAUGCUCCUGAGUGUUCCUGGAUUUGAAUGGAAUCCUUCCUCCCCACCCCACCCCCGCCCCAUUCUUAACUACUUUGUAUCUCACUAAAAUAUAAGAACAGCUAACCAGUUUCCUGUGGAUAGAUGUGAUGACUUGGAAGCCUUUCUUCUGGAUUUAGAUUAGUGUGAGCAAAGGAUGUGUCCCUCAGGUGAGUGGAAUGCCAUUCUUUGUCACCUCAGCUUUCACAAGUCCUUUGUAAUCACAGUAAUUGCAAGAAGCUGUGCAGACGACAGGGUCAUGGUACAAUGUUCACAAAUGCCAAUGUGUAGCAAAGGCCUAAUAAUACACUAGGUGUGAAUUAUAAACUUCAAUUAAGGCCUUUGCCAGUCAUAUUGCCCAGUUAGAAUAUACAUAAUUGUAAGUAGGACUCCAUUUUUUUUUUUACAAAAAGAAUAUUUGCUUGGUAAAAGUGUGACAUUCAAAAGUUAGCUUAAUAGGAUGUGGAAAGAUUUCCCAAUGAAUACUGCAGACCUCAGAAGAGCAAAGGCGAGCACAUGGUUUGUUUUAAACAGAUGUUACCUGCUGUGGAAACUUCUUUCAGGCAAAGAAUACAAUGUUCUUAUUGUUCUCUAGGCCACUGAUGGAUUGUUAUAUACAUAGGAGAAACGGGGGAAAUAGUCUCUCUAUUUCUGCUUUAAACUUAGAUGCCUAAAGCAACACAAAUCCAUCCAUUAACAUUUUGGGUAUUAGGCAGCUGAAAGAUUCCCACUAGAAUAAAGUUCAGCUUUUGCAGCAUUGUCCUCCUCUGAAGGCUCUAGUUUCUUUGCCUUUCCUGAGUUUGUUCUUAUUGUUUGUUUUGUUUCUUUUUGUUUUGUGAAAUGUGUCUUCAUCUCAUGGAUCAUGGCUCCUUCCCCUGAUCCACUGACUACAUGUUGUCUGAUUAUCACUCUUCUUUUCUUAUCAUGACCCUAGAAUUCACUUUGAGCCUGUCCAGAUAAUACAAGAUAAUAACUGUAUCUCCAAUACCUUAGAAGCUAGCUUAGUUACAUUUUAUAGUGAUUUCUGCCUCAUAAAGUAUCAACUGUGUAUGCCCUGACACUCGAAAUGAGAACACCCCUGAGGGAUUGCAUGCAUUACAGGAAAUUGAACAUUAUAUCAUUAGCAUUGUGUCGUGAUGGCACACUGUUUUUAUUUUACAUAAAACCACAAUAGAUUCUCAGAAAAGAUCAUAUCUAGACAACUUCCAUAUAUGGUUUUAAAAACAGUGUAAGAUCUUAUGAAAAUCAGAAAUGAAAAUUCCACAAUAUGUGUGUUAAGUGCGGGGUCAGCUGAAAUGACUGAGACCCAUUGCAGGGGCCUAAGUACUUUUUCCUUCCACUAAGUGGUGGUUAAUGAGCACACAGUAAGCCAAAUGGACUGUGCAUGCAGUCUUCUUCUUUUGUAGCCUGGGUUCUGCUAUUUUUGCACAGGUCUGGUAUUCAUGUUUUUGCAUGUGUCUCACUUGGUAAUAUCUAUGUUACUCACAAUGCAGGUCUAAGCGUGACAAACAUGUUGAGUGUACAGUGGGGUUGUGUCUCAGCGGCUCUACCACAGGUGUCUUGCCUCAGGCCUCUUGGGCAUUCUUUGUGCAGAAAUGUUAGAACUCAUCUACCCAGUGAUCCCACAGAGAUGUUGGGUGAUAGCCAGGACAUAAUGAUUCUCUGGUUGGGGGGGGGGGAGGGACAUGAUGCUUUAAGUGUGUUUUAAAAAUUAUCACUUUUACUUUUGAAAUUAUAACAUAAUCCCAACAUUUCUCCAUUCCCUCCACUUCUCCUCCCACCAAACCCUUCCAUGUGGGCUGGAGAGAUGGCUCAGUAUUUAGAAGUGUAUUUUACUCUUCCAGAAGAACUGAGUUUGGUGCCUAGUACCCUUGGCAGAUGGCUCACAACUGCCUGGACUUCUAGCUCACAGGCUCUGAUGCCUCUGGUUGCCUUGGGCAUUCACACAUACACAGGAUGAAAAUAAAAUAAAAUAAAAUAAAAUGUUAAAAUGACUCCCAUCUACUCUUGCUUGCUCUCUUUCAAGUCCACGACCUCCUUUUUCAUUAAUUGUUGUUACAUGCAACUAUGUAUAGAUUUUCCUACAUACAUAAAUAUAACCUAUUCAACCUGUCUAAUGUUGCUCGUAUGUUUAUGUUUUCAGUACUGACUACUUGGUAUUGGGUAAAAAUUGACCUGCUCUUCCCCGGGGAAGACUAUCAAAGUCUCAGCAUUUCUUAGUUGCAUGUAGUUCUUUGUGUAGAGUUGAGGCUUCACGGGCUUUCAUCCACUUUGGCGUGUCUAUUAGCUUGGUAAAUCAAUUAAUUUAUUGAGGCUUAGUUACUGAGAAGAAACUGUGUGCCUGAAAGGUAGCUGCAUCACCAAAAGCUCACCACAGAGGAUGGGGAGAGGGUUCAGUCCGUAAAGUGAUUGCUGCAUAAACAUAGGAAUAUGAGCUCAAUACCGAACACCCACGUGACAAGCCAAUGCCAGUGGCACACACUUGUGCUCUCAUUGUUGGUGAAAGGGGGAGAGCAGAUCCUUGGCACUGAGUAGAAAGUUGACUUGACUUAAUUGCUAUGUUCUGUGUAUGUAUGAAAGAUUCUGUCACAAAAAAAGAAGGGCCUUCAAAUACCCACAAAGGUGUGUGUGAACCUAAACAUAGAAACAUACACACACACACACACACACACACACACACACACACACACACACACACACACCUGCACAUACAUCUACAAAGUUUGGUUUUGAAGUUCCACCCCAGCAUGGGUGAUGGCUCACCAAAGCUGUAGACAUAGAGCGCUCUGAACAAUUUACAGGUAGCCCGAGGAACCAGAGGCAUUUUGAUAAGUUUUAUGAGCCCUACAAGUCUACCUUCUCACUCUAGGAAGGGAUUAGCAGUGACUGACUUUAUGGAGGACCAUACUUUGAGCUGUUGGAAGGGACAAAAGUCCUUAAAGAAAACGGUGUGCAGUAAAGAGUCACAGGGUAGGUUGUAGCUGGACUGGAACUAAAAUCCUUGCCCUGCCUUGUUUAGAGCUGCUUCACUCCAGUCCGUUUCUAUCUUCAAGAGGCCUCCUUCAUGAUAUACCUUCCUCCUCUUCUUUGAGGUAGGGUUUCAUCGUAUAGCCCUGGCUGGCCUAGGACUUGACACGUACACCAAGCUGUACUUGAAAUCGCUGUGCAUACCAGGCUCGCCUUGUGCCUGUAGUAGAACGUCUGCUGACUCCCAGUUUCUGGGAGUAGAGAGGCUCUCGAGAGGACCUGGAUUCAGUUCCCAGCAUCCACACGAUAACUCGCAGAUGCCUCUAAGUCCAGUUUUAGGGGAUCCGAUGCUCUCUUCUGAUCUCUAAGGUUUCUUGCACACUCGUUGAUUUUAUGUGUGUGUGUGUGUAUCAUAUUAAUAACAUAUUAAAUAAAUAAAAAAUUUUUAUUUCUUGCCUACGUAGGUGCAGAGUAUCACUCUUUGCCUUUGCUGAGGAAAGGUUUCCUCUUUCAAAUUAGCUGCCCCUAAGCCAUCAUCCAGCUCACACACAAGUCUUGAGUCUCCUUAUGAGCAGCAGUAAUUAGAUGGACCAGAACAUGAGAAGGGGAGUGGAGCAAUAAAACAGGCAAAAUAAUUUCGCAUUACUUCCAGACUGGUAUCUCAGGGAAAACUGCUUAAUGGACUGCUUGUUCUGUAAGUUGGGUUAGCAUUCAAGUGUGUGUUUCUGGGGUAGUGCUUUGGGCCCAGGGCUAGAGAGAGAACUGUCCAUCUCUACUGGUUUAUGGUACUGUUAGUGUCGGUCAAGAGGAUAAGAUCUCCAGUCUGAGUGGAGACUGGUUCGAUCCCUUUGGUAAGGGAUCACCAUAGAAAGGUUGGCUCACCAGCUAAAACCUUACUGAAAAGAUAGAAUGGUUUUUAAAAUGAGACACUGUACUUUUCUUUCCCACGAUUCCCACCACCAUUGUUCAGAAGCUUACCGACCAGUCAUGUAAAAGGUCCUAAGUCCUACCCUAUGACCAAGUCAGAAAAGCAUACAUAUUUUUCACAUUUUCUAUCUCUUUUCUAAGUGUUCUUUCCUUAGUACUGGGGUCUUUAUCCCCAGCAUUUUGGGCCUCCCUACUCUUUCCUUAAAACUAGUAACCCCACAUGUGGCUGCUUGCUGGCCAUGAGUCUAACCUCCAUGGCAGCUUAAACAGCACGGCAUGGCCCUUCUCCUUUCUCCUCCUCUGGGAGCUGCUAAGGCUUUACAGCUUGCCAGUCCUGGGGUUCUUCUUCUGAACUCUAAUAAAUCGUCCUUGUGGUUCUUUGUGAGUGUUUUUAAGUCCUGUUGUCAGUGUGACUCCGAAUCCCAGAGGGGACCUUGAUCUUCCCUGUGUCACUGUGGGAGGAAGAUUAUAAGAGUUGGACUUGAUAAUAUUGAAUCCCAUGUUCAGGAUUUGGAAGUAAUAUGUAAAGGACUCUGAAAAGAAGCAAGACUUGGCUACUAGGCUGUAAGCUUUUGACUCAGAAACUUUUUCGGUGCAUUUGUAAGCUUGGCACUAGCAGUAAUUGCCAGGUUGUGGAGAGGGUCCACAUGACCCUGUAGCUUUGGGCAGGUUGAGUAUGGUACACUGGGUGGUUCCAUUUAAGUGGGGCUGACAGUGCUGUUUGGAGGGGUAUAUGGGAAGAUUUGGAGGGAGGGAAGGGAGAAGUGUUGUAGUUAUAGUCUCAAAAAUAAAGGGCCUUUUGCACACACCAAGUACGUGUGCUAUCACCAAGACAUUUCCCUAGUCUAAUAACCGUUUUCUGUAUUCAUUUACCUAGAUAAAGCUUGAGUUUUUUUCCCCAUACCUUGGCUACUGUGAAUAGUUGUGCACUGAGCGUGAGCGUGCAGAUGCCUCUGAUUUACCAACCUCAGUUCCCAAGCUUCAUAUAACUGGAUUAUAAGAUAAUUCUAUGCUUACUUUUCAGGAGCGUCCAUACCAUUUUCCAUGGGCUAGGAUUAAAGCUAGCUUCAUUGCACUUGCAGUUUUUGUUUCCUCAAAGAUUAGACUUGUCGUACAUUAUCUUUUAAUUCAUCGGUUGACCAUAAACAUCAUUUCUUUGUGGAAAAUGUCACUUAAUUGCAUGGGUCAUUCUUUAGCUGUGGUGAAACAUUUUGGUUGGACGCAUGUUAGUCUCCUUGUUUUGUGGUGCUGGGAAUUGAACCCAGGGCUUUCCACUUGCGGAGUGAGCUCUUGGCCUGUAAGCUCCGCCUCACUGCUGCAGUUUGCUCUUUUGCCUAUGCUUUGGGAAUGCUCUUCAGGAAACCAUAAGCCAGACCAAUGCCCGCUACUUCUUUUAGUACCUCUUCAGGAUUGGGUAUCACAUUUAAUAAAUUGCAAAUUAAUUAUGAUUCAGUUACUGUAUUGGAAUAAAGGUCUAAUUUUAUUCUUUUGUGUUUUCCCAUCAGUGAUUCCUGAAGACACUAUCCUUAACCCUUUGUGCAUUUUCAACUCUCCGUAAGAGUUACGUUCGACUUUAUUUCUGGGUUGUGUAUUUUACACUACUAUUAUUUUGCUUUUAUUUUUGGCAGCUUUGUAGCAUGCAGGUCAAGUACCGCUUAUACGGAUUUUAGAUCAUUUUGUAUUUCUGACUUUUAUAUUAUCGCCAACUUGUAGUUCGUGCCUGUCACUGACCAAUGUUGGCCCUGUCACUUUCCGCACUGGCCACACAGGGCUUUCACUUAUUCUGAACUGCGUCCUAGGAUUUGUGAUGUGUGAUUUUAUUUGUUCUGUUCCUCAAGUGCUUGUUUAAAAUCUAGGCUCAGACUUGAAAACUAGCUUUUCAUUAAGAUUUUGGUUCCCAGCAUCCAUGGCGGGCUGCUAGCUCUACCUCCUAGGGAACUGACAUUCACUUUUGGUUUCCAAGAGUACCUGUACCUAUGUCCACAGAUACACAUAUAUAUGUAAUUUUUAAAAAUUAAAAAUAAAAAAAUUAAAAUCUAGACUCUCCCAUUUGAGACAAAGUGUGUGAUAUUCAGCUUUCUGAAUUAAUCCUUGUAUACAACCGCUGCUUCUGUGGGGUUCCAGAAAUGACCCAGCAGUAAAGAUCACUGACUGCUUUUCCACAGGACGUGGGUUUGUUUGAUCCCUAACAUCCACAUGACAGACCAGUCAUCUGUAUUCCAGUUGUAGAGGACUUGACACCCUCUUCUGGCCUCUAAAGGCACUGCAUGCAUGCCAUGCAGAAACAUACAUGGCGCGCCAAUACAUACACAUACACACACACAACACACACACACACACACACACACACACACACACACACUCAUAUAAAGGAAUUUCAAUCAUUUCCUUUAGAUUACCCACUUUGUUGUUUUUUAAAAAUGCUUUGCUCUGCUUGGCUUUCCCUUUGUUCUGCUUUCUAGCUUUCUGAGGUAUAACAUGAGGGCUGAUGUAUUGCAGGCUUCCAGUCAGGACUGCUUUCCAUUUGCAUGUAUUGUGAUCCCAUUUGCCCUUGUCUCUGGAUCCUGUUUGGUUUCCGUCUAGUUGGUUUUCCUUGACUUAUGGAUUGUUGAGAAGAGUGUUGUUAAUUUCUACAUAUUUGUGAGCUGUCUCUCUGAUCACUCAGUUUUAGUUUUAUGAUGUUGUAGUCAGAAAAGAGACUUGAUAUGAUCCCACUCUUCCAUAAUCACCGCUGGAAUGUGCUUCGUGUAUUAGCACACGAUCUAUGAUGUUCCCUAUGUGUGCAUUUGCAAAGAACACUUGUAAAAGCCACUGUUUCUCCCCAUGGUUAGGUCAUCCAUUUGAUGAUGGAAGUUUCCUAUUACUGUGUUACAUUCUAUGUUCAUAUCUAUUAAUGGUUGCCAUAUAUGUUUGGGUGCCUGACAAUGGAGACACACACACACACACACACACACACACACACACACAUGCACAUAUCUCAAAUGCAUUUGACUUGUUGCUGAAGUAGCCCUUUUGCAUUUUGUAAUGAUCUGUUUCUUUCUAUCACAAUGGAGUGUUUGACUUCUGCUCUAUUUUUUCUUGGCGUAAGUGACCAGUCCAGCAGGUCCAGUUAUUCAGGGUCCCGAAGAGGCCUUCUACCUGUGUAUCAAAUGGGGGUGAAGAGAAGAAGGAGACCAAGCAAAAGUUCUGUUGUCAAGGUCUCGUUUAUUGGGGUGAACGUUACAGCUUUUAAGGUUUUCAGGUAGGGGGAGUGUCCUUAGUGAAACACAAAGGAUGGAGGGAGAAGGGCAUUCCAGCAGCGAGAGCAGAAGGUGAAGAGGUCAUGCGAUGGAGACGCUGGAGAUGUCUGGUGUUUGCUCAGACUGAAACAUCCUUGAAUGUUAUCUUCCUGUGCCGUAAAUUCAUGGGAGAGGCUUUUGUCCAACACUCUCAAGACUUAUGACAGUCAUUUCAAAGUUGAACAUCUGUGGCCAUGCAGCCAAGAGUCACGUAGACACUUUGAGCCACAAAGCGGCCAGGCCCAAAUCCAAUAUGGCUCCCUACACGUAAGUAUAGCUACUUUGGAUUUUUGUUUUCCGUUUGCAUUCACAUCCCCCUGUUUUAAAUGACAAACACCAUGUCAAGAGUCUAUUUUAGCAUCAGCCUCAGUGGUGAACACUUGCCUAGUACAUUCUAGGUCCUAGGUUCAGUUCUCAGAACCACAAAUUAUAAUGGUAAGGACAAAGAAAAUAUUACAAUCUUUCCUUCAUUUUAAAAACUACCUAAAAAUUAAAACUACCUAAAAACUAACUUAAAAUUGUCUUCUUCUUUGCAGGAUAUGGAGACUUUGAUGAUUUUAAUCUGGAGGAUGCACUGAAAGAAACUUCCUCAGUAAAGCGUGACUCAAACAAACAAGUCCACCAAGCAAACAGAAGUGGUCAGCCAUGCACCACACUGACAAUCUUGCCUUCAGAAAAGUACACGCAUAUGAGACUAGCUGUGCCUCCAUCUACCUGUUUGUUCUGUUGUGCAAGGCUUGUGUCGUUUUGUCAUACGUGUGUCAUCUUCCUUUUACAUUUAGAAAAUUUCAUAAUUUUCACUAUGUUGAAACCACAAGAGAACGUGCAUCUGCCUUCGCCUUUUUUCUGCUGUACAAAAAGAGAACUCCGACCCGUUUCAUUCCUCUCACUGUUUUGUUUUGAGACAGGGUCUCUUGAUUAAGCCCGAGUUGUCCUGAAAUUCUCUGUGCCGAGAAGCCCGGCUUUGACUUGGGUCCAGUAUUAGAGCAACAGUGACUCUUGGCCACUGAUGUGCAUUUCUAGCUUCAGAACCCAUGACUUUUUAUGAUUCUUCAGUGUGAUCCCCACAAUGGCCUCGGGGACCUAUACCAAGACCAUUCUCACGAUGUGACUUCUGUAAACCAUAAAGCAGCCACUGUGUUUUACAAUCUGCUUCCUUUCGUCCUCCCUUCUCCCUUCAGAGAGCCACUUUAGCACCACGACUAGAAGGACAGGAACAACCAGAGCCUCAUCAAAUCCAGCAGGUAAUGAGGUGUGGGAAGUGAGGAAGGCCAGACUCACCUGAGAAGGGACACAAGGAGGGACUCAUUAGGACUCCAUCUGGGACAGGGUCAAAAGGAGCCAUGUAGAAUUUUUAGCUGCACAUAUGAAAAGUUAGCAAAGGCACCCAUGUGAAUGUUAGAUUUAAUUCAACAGAAUCCCAUCUGGUUGGUCACUGUGCCUUACGUGAAAGCCAUGCGUUUCCACUUCCCUAUUGCUUUGGGUGACGAUGGCUGCCAGAAUCCAGGUACAGGAGGCGGAAGGGGUGAGCUGAAAUUGACUUAAGCCCCAGCCUAUCCCCAUAGCUCCCAGGUUAAACAUGAGCCAUUCAUAGUCGAGCAGAGUUGGGCAACCUGAGGCCUAAGGAGAAGUCUUCAACGAAGAUAUUCAGACGUUUUCAUGAUAUUCUCUAAGUUUUUGAAGAUCUCGGGAGAGUUUGUGUAUGUGGGUCACAUCUAUAAAUACUUCUCAUCUGAGAACUUAGAACUAAAAACUGAUAUUAAUCCGAGGAAAAUAAAAAGCCAUAUGCAUUGAC